GUCAGCAUGGCGUAGUGGUUUGAGUGUUGAACUACGACUCUGGAGACCAGGGUUCGAAUCCUGGCUUGGUCA
rnacentral:tRNA from 1 species